GACGGAGCACUGCCGCGUGUGUGAAGAAGGGCUUCGGCUCGUAAACCACUGUUGUCGGAGAAGAUGACAUUGAGAGUAACUGUUCUUGUGUGACGGUAUCUUACCAGAAAGGAACGGCUAAUACGUGCCAGCAGCCGCGGUAAU
rnacentral:rRNA from 1 species